UAGGGAAUCUUCGGCAAUGGACGAAAGUCUGACCGAGCAACGCCGCGUGAGUGAAGAAGGUUUUCGGAUCGUAAAACUCUGUUGUUAGAGAAGAGCAAGGACGUUAGUAACUGAACGUCCCCUGACGGUAUCUAACCAGAAAGCCACGGCUAACUACGUGCCAGCAGCCGCGGUAAUACGUAGGUGGCAAGCGUUGUCCGGAUUUAUUGGGCGUAAAGCGAGCGCAGGCGGUUUCUUAAGUCUGAUGUGAAAGCCCCCGGCUCAACCGGGGAGGGUCAUUGGAAACUGGGAGACUUGAGUGCAGAAGAGGAGAGUGGAAUUCCAUGUGUAGCGGUGAAAUGCGUAGAUAUAUGGAGGAACACCAGUGGCGAAGGCGGCUCUCUGGUCUGUAACUGACGCUGAGGCUCGAAAGCGUGGGGAGCAAACAGG
rnacentral:rRNA from 2 species